rnacentral:rRNA from 1 species
CCUUCCCCGUGUAAUUUAAACAUAGUAGUAAGCAGAUGAGGACCAUCAGNCUUGGAUUUUGUAAGUAGUUGCGAAUGAACACAAAUUUGAUCACUUUGGCAAUCUGUACACAUUGCUGUGUAACAAUUUGUAUACGUUGGCACAGUGCUAUCAAAGCUGCAUGCAAGUGUUUUUUGAAAGGAUACAACAUGGGAUGUGAUAUUCAUGUGUGUGUGCCUGCUUUGUCCACAGCCUGUGCUGUAUGAAUCACAUUUCUUGCAACUGAAAUGCUAAUGGCAUGGUAAAGUUCAUGUGACAUGACACAAGCUUGAGAUUCAUGAUGUGCAAGUACCAUGAGGGAAAUGUGAAAAGGACUUUGGAAAGAGAAUUAAAUAAAGCCUGCAUUUGCUGACAAUGAAAGCAAGUGUGGAUGUUCAUGUAAUUGUUACUGCAUCAAUCAAUGUUCAUCUUGGUUACUGCAUGCUUUAUAUUACAGCUCAGAACAUGAAGUGUGUGUAACAGCUCUGCUUUGAUUUUUCCCACAUGGGAUCAGUUGAAACAUUGUGAGAGCACUCUUCAGUUUCCUUAUGUACCCACCAGCUUUGUCCACUCGCGUGUUGGCACACAUGUAAUGAUGAUGUGUUUAUGCAAGAUACUUCUGUGCUCAACAACAUGUGUCAUCUCCUGACUUUAUCUUAAUUAUUUAAAAUUAAAAAGGAA